ensembl:snRNA U6 U6 spliceosomal RNA
GUACUUGCUUCGGCAGCACAUAUACUAACAUUGAAACGAGACAGAAAAGAUUAUCAUGGCCCCUGCGCAAGGAUGACACACAAAUUGGUGUCAUUUUUUU